rnacentral:rRNA from 1 species
UACGUAGGUGGCAAGCGUUGUCCGGAUUUACUGGGUGUAAAGGGCGUGCAGCCGGGAAGACAAGUCAGGUGUGAAAUCCCGCGGCUCAACCGCGGAACUGCAUUUGAAACUGUUUUUCUUGAGUACCGGAGAGGUCAUCGGAAUUCCUUGUGUAGCGGUGAAAUGCGUAGAUAUAAGGAAGAACACCAGUGGCGAAGGCGGAUGACUGGACGGCAACUGACGGUGAGGCGCGAAAGCGUGGGGAGCAAACAGG